CUGGCAGGCCCUGCGGGUACCCCCGGGAGAGCCCGGGGCCUGCAGGCUGCGGCCUUCACCCCGAGGAGGUGGAAUCCAGGAUGAUCCAUCUUAAGAUGAGAAAGACAGGAGCCCCUUUCAAUGCUGGAGGUCCAGCUGAGGUCCAGCCCUCCAUAAACUCCGUGAGCCUUAUCCAGCAACCGCGGCAGCUGCUGAUUUCCCGGGUCCGCGAAGACGCGUCCCUCCCGGUCUGCCUGCAGGAGCUCCUACUCGUUCUCUGAAGCCCAGCCGCAGCGGGCCCCAGGAAGUCUGUGCCCCCUCCUAGGUGAGGGCAGGUGGGCCUCGCCGGCCUCCCGGCCUCUGAACUACAGCAUGUCAUGGGCAACUGCGCCGGAAUUCAGUCAUUAAAAGAUGCUUCCUGUGUCUCAG
ensembl:lncRNA